UGGGGAAUUUUGGACAAUGGGCGCAAGCCUGAUCCAGCCAUGCCGCGUGCGGGAUGAAGGCCUUCGGGUUGUAAACCGCUUUCAGCCGGAAAGAAAUCGCACGGUUUAAUACGCUGUGUGGAUGACGGUACCGGAAGAAGAAGCACCGGCUAACUACGUGCCAGCAGCCGCGGUAAUACGUAGGGUGCGAGCGUUAAUCGGAAUUACUGGGCGUAAAGCGUGCGCAGGCGGCUUUUUAAGCCAGACGUGAAAUCCCCGGGCUUAACCUGGGAACUGCGUUUGGAACUGGAAAGCUAGAGUGUGUCAGAGGGGGGUGGAAUUCCGCGUGUAGCAGUGAAAUGCGUAGAUAUGCGGAGGAACACCGAUGGCGAAGGCAGCCCCCUGGGAUAACACUGACGCUCAUGCACGAAAGCGUGGGGAGCAAACAGG
rnacentral:rRNA from 1 species